rnacentral:misc_RNA from 1 species
GAUGAAGAACGCAGCGAAAUGCGAUAAGUAAUGUGAAUUGCAGAAUCCAGUGAAUCAUCGAAUCUUUGAACGCACAUUGCGCCCGCCAGCAUUCUGGCGGGCAUGCCUGUUCGAGCGUCAUUUCAACCCUCGACCGCCCUUUGGGGAAGUCGGCGUUGGGGACCGGCAGCACACCGCCGGCCCUGAAAUGGAGUGGCGGCCCGUCCGCGGCGACCUCUGCGUAGUAAUCCAACUCGCACCGGAACCCCGACGCGGCCACGCCGUAAAACACCCAACUUCUGAACGUUGACCUCGAAUCAGGUAGGACUACCCGCUGAACUUAAGCAUAUCAAUAAGCGGAGGA